UCUGGUAGCGAUAGCUAGAAGGUCACACCUGUUCCCAUGCCGAACACAGAAGUUAAGCUUUUCAGCGCCAAUGGUAGUUGGGGUUUUACCCCUGCAAGAGUAGGACGCCGCCAGGC
rnacentral:rRNA from 1 species